rnacentral:tRNA from 1 species
GACCCCAUAGCUCAACUGGAUAGAGCCUUCGUUUCCUAAACGAAUGAUCCCCGUUCAAGUCGGGGUGGGGUCA